UCGAAUACGUGUUUCGAAAGUUUUAGAAGAACUUAGUCUUGAACUCGAUGUAAUUUGAUGGUUUUCGUGUUAUUUCCGGUAUUUUGAUGAUUGGAACAAUUUUGAAUGUCUUUAUAGGAUGUGUUGGUGCUUUUUGUUGAGGUCCCGGAGGUCUCGGGGUGAUUUUGGAUGGCUAACGGGAGGUUUGAACUUGGAAAUAUGUUGCAGAAAUUCAGCAGCUGUUGCAGUCAGAAUUUUGCCUUCGCGAUCGCAUGCCGGAGGCCGCGUUCACGAAGAAGGAAGUUGGUCCCCUGAGAAAAUUUGCUUCGCAUUCGCGUUUGGCCUCUCGGGUUCGCGGAGGAUGAGUUUAAUGUGCGUCGCAUUUGCGGGGAGAUAUCCGCAUUCGCAUAGGAGGCUUUGGAGUUCCGUGUGUUUUAUUCAUCACGUUCGCGACAAAGGGCAUCACGUUCGCGUAGUUGAGGCUGAGCAAGGAUAACGUUCGCGGGUGGUCAUACACGUUCUCUAAGGGCAAUUUUGGACCAAGGAAAUUUUGAGCAUCGCGAACGCGAGAAGGUCCUCGCUCUCACAAAGAAGGAAAUUGUGUUGGGCAGAAGGAUUUUUAAAACAUUUUGUUCCGCGAGCCUAAGCUAUUUUCCACAUUGUUGAGCUUCUUGAGAGCUAUUUGGGAAAAAUUGAAGAGGGUUUCGAUGAGGAUUGAUUGGAGGUAAGUCCUCUGAACUAAAAACAUGAUUUAAUUAUGGAAUUUACCUUGAAAUUUAUGGAAACAUAGCAAAAAAGGGAAGAACUAGGGCUUGAAAAUUUGAGAUUUUAAAUUGGGAUUUGAUGGGUCAUUUGAGCUCAGAUUUGAGAGUGCUUGAUAUAUAUAAACUCCUGGCAAGAUAAGGAAACCAUUGAUGUAAAAAAUUUUGAGUUUUGAGGAGUGGGCCCGGGGCUCAGGUUUUGCCAAUUUCGGGAUUUUUGAUAUUUUUUGAUAGUUUUAUUCCCUUUGUAUAUUGUUACGUAUUCAUAAUGAUUUUUGUCUGAUUUGACACGCGAGGGGGCCAAUUUGAGAGGCAAAGGCAUAGCGAGCUACAGUUUUGGCUGGCUUGAGGAGAGUAAUGAUUGGAAAUGAUAUCCUGAGGGUUUGAAACCCCGAAUUUGCACAACGUGGUGCUAUGUUGAGAUGAGACACACGCUGCGCGAUGAGCGUGGGGUCCAUUGCAACUGGUGAUCGUGACUUGGUCCAUCCCGAUAUAUAUUAUUGCUAUAUUUUGGCUGAGACUUAUGCAUUAUCAUCAAGAUUUGAGCUAGUUUCCAUGUUUAGGACCUUGUGCCGACCUGUAGAAACUAUAGGGGUAUUUUUGACUGAUUUUCCUCACUUUAUUUGUUAAAAAUCAUAUUCUCAGUAAUGUUAUGACUUUUUAAACAAUAUGAACUGGUUUUUGAAAUGUUAAUUCUAAAUGAAAGAAAUACGUGGGCUGAGAUCCCUAUCUUAUAUUAUUGUGCCUGAGAGGCUGUGAUUAUAAUGACUGAGAGGGGUUGAGAACCCAACAGUGAGGAGGUUAUAUAUAUGUUAUGGAUCGGGCUGCACGUCGUAGCAAGUACUUAUCUGGAUCGGGUUGCACACCGCAAUAAAUGUGUGUGUGUGUGUAUAUAUAUAUAUAUAUAUAUAUAUAUAUAUAUAUAUAUAUAUUGCAUGCCGCAUCAAUAUAGCGCUUGGGUUAUAGGAGCCCCUCCGGAGUCUGCACACCCCCAGUGAGCACAAUUGACUAUUAUUAUGGGACUGAGAGGGGUUAUAACCCAACAGUGAGGAUGUUAUAUAUAUGUCAUGGAUCG
rnacentral:lncRNA from 1 species